AGAGUCUCUGCUGCCCAGGCUGGAGUGCAGUGGUACAAUCAUAGUUCACUGCAGCCUUGACUUCCUGGGCUCCAGCAAUCCUCCCAGCUCUGCCUCCCAAGUAGCUGGGACCACAGGUGUACACUACCAUGCUCAGCUAAUUAAAAAAAUAUAUUUUUUUCUUUUUUACUUUUUGUAGAGACAGGGGUCUCACCGUGUUGCCCAGACUGGUCUUGAACUCCUGGGUUCAAGCAAUCCUCCUGCCUCAGCCUCCCAAAGUGCUGGGAUUACAGGUGUGAGCUACCACGCCUGGCCCAAAGAACUCUUUCAAAAAAGGAAACAAACAGUACCUUGCAUUGGAAGAACAAACAUCAUGAAAAGCCAUCAGUAGAAAUGAGACCUCAACUUUUCCAGGUAAACUUUUCAUUUGACAUUUAGAAGUUACCCCUCUACACUUAAAAUUGUUUCUUGUUGUGCUUUUUGUUUUGGGGGCUUGGGUAGAGUUGAAUACAGAUGGCGUUCAACUGGUACUACUAUCUAAAUGAGACACAGUUUGAAGACAGUAAGAAUGAUGAGUGCCUCCGGGACCUAGUUUAACCACCACAAGAAGAGACUGCAGGGCCCAGAGUGUCCGUACCUUCGGCAAGUGCAGCAGGGCACUGAGCAUCAGGUGGAGACCAAAGAGAUGAAGGAAUGUUUAUCAACCGCCUGCCACACACUGAAGGAAUGUUUGUCAAGCAUCUACCAUGCACCAGGGGCUGAAGGAAUGUUUAUCAAGCACCUACUACGCACUGAAGGAAUGUUUAUCAAGCACCUACCAUGCACCAGGCACUGAAGGAACGUUUAUCAAGCACCUACCAUGCACCAGGGGCUGAAAGAAUGUUUAUCAAGCACCUACUACGCACUGAAGGAAUGUUUAUCAAGCACCUACCACGCACUGAAGGAAUGUUUAUCAAGCACCUACCACGCACCAGGUGCUGAAGGAACGUUUAUCAAGCACCGACUACGCACUGAAGGAAUGUUUAUCAAGGACCUACCACGCACCGGGCGCUGAAGGAAUGUUUAUCAAGCACCUACCACGCACCAGGGGCUGAAGGAAUGUUUAUCAAGCACCGACUACGCACUGAAGGAAUGUUUAUCAAGGACCUACCACGCACCGGGCGCUGAAGGAACGUUUAUCAAGCACCUACCACGCACUGAAGGAACGUUUAUCAAGGACCUACCACGCACCAGGGGCUGAAGGAAUGUUUAUCAAGCACGUACUACGCACUGAAGGAAUGUUUAUCAAGCACCUACCACGCACUGAAGGAACGUUUAUCAAGCACCUACUACGCACCAGGCGCUGAAGGAAUGUUUAUCAAGCACCUACCAUGCACCAGGGGCUGAAGGAACGUUUAUCAAGCACCUACCACGCACCAGGGGCUGAAGGAAUGUUUAUCAAGCACCUACCACGCACUGAAGGAACGUUUCUCAAGCACCUACUACGCACUGGGCGCUGAAGGAACGUUUAUCAAGCACCUACCACGUAACAGGUGCUGUGCCUGACAUUUUCACAUGACCUUGCUGCCUGAUGAAUGAAUCAUGUAGUGAAAGAGGUAUUAUUACUCCUCUUUGUGAGUAAUAAUAAAUGAGGAUGAAACAGGAUUGAGGACAGCGAGUGACCUGCCUAAGGAAGCGUAACUGCUAAGUUAGCAGGAAAGGUCAUUAAGAUGGUACUUAAGAUGCUGAAAUUGAGUCAGCCAGUCUGACUUCUGACACUGUGCAACCUUCUAAAGGGGUGACCGGGACAAGUCAUCUAAUUUCUCUGAGCCUCAGUAUUCUCGUCUAUAAAAUUGGGAUGAUGGUAACAUCUAUAAUCUAUUACUGAAAGAUAACGCAUGGAAUGCUCUUAACACAGUGUCUCGCAGCACGUAUAAAUUCCACAGUAAAUUUUAGCUACUGUUAUAAUUUUAAGAAUACUUGCACUAUCACUAAAAAUCACUAAAUUUCGAUAACUGAUAAUUAUCAAUUAAUUCAGAUAUGUAUCAAUUAAUUGAAAUUAUGGUGAUUUAAGUUUUAUUCUUUUUUUCAAAAAAAUCUGACCGGGCGCGAUGGCAACAUGCCUGUAAUCCCAGCAGUUU
rnacentral:lncRNA from 10 species